GACGAACGCUGGCGGCGUGCCUAAUACAUGCAAGUCGAGCGAACCAAUAAGAAGCUUGCUUUUUGUUGGUUAGCGGCGGACGGGUGAGUAACACGUGGGUAACCUGCCUGUAAGACCGGGAUAACUCCGGGAAACCGGUGCUAAUACCGGAUAGAUUAUCUUUCCGCAUGGAGAGAUAAGGAAAGAUGGCUAUUGCCAUCACUUACAGAUGGGCCCGCGGCGCAUUAGCUAGUUGGUGAGGUAACGGCUCACCAAGGCGACGAUGCGUAGCCGACCUGAGAGGGUGAUCGGCCACACUGGGACUGAGACACGGCCCAGACUCCUACGGGAGGCAGCAGUAGGGAAUCUUCCGCAAUGGACGAAAGUCUGACGGAGCAACGCCGCGUGAGCGAAGAAGGUCUUCGGAUCGUAAAGCUCUGUUGUUAGGGAAGAACAAGUAUCGGAGGAAAUGCCGGUACCUUGACGGUACCUGACGAGAAAGCCACGGCUGACUACGUG
rnacentral:rRNA from 1 species